rnacentral:rRNA from 1 species
UACAGAGGUCUCGAGCGUUAGGCGGAAUCACUGGGCUUAAAGCGUGUGUAGGCGGAUCGGUAAGUACCUUGUGAAAUCCCACAGCUUAACUGUGGAACUGCUUGGUAUACUGCCAGUCUUGAGCCAGCUAGGGGCUACCGGAACAAAUGGUGGAGCGGUGAAAUGCGUAGAUAUCGUAAGGAAGACCAGUGGCGAAGGCGGUCUCUGGAC